rnacentral:rRNA from 1 species
CACUUCUAGCAUGACAAGUAUUAGAGGCAAUGCCUGCCCAGUGACAUUUCUGUUCAACGGCCGCGGUAUCCUGACCGUGCAAAGGUAGCAUAAUCACUUGUUCCUUAAAUAGGGACUAGUAUGAACGGCUUAACGAGGGUUUAACUGUCUCUUUCUUGUAGUCAAUGAAAUUGACCUUCCCGUGAAGAGGCGGGAAUUAAACAAUAAGACGAGAAGACCCUAUGGAGCUUUAAUUCAUUAAUUCAAUUUUACAACAUUAAAUCAACAAGAACUAAAACUUAAAUUAUGAAUUAAUAAUUUUGGUUGGGGUGACCUCGGAGUAAAAAGAAACCUCCGAAUGAUAUUAACCUAGACACACAAGUCAAAGAUACAUCAUAAAUUGACCCAGAACUUAUCUGAUCAACGGACCAAGUUACCCUAGGGAUAACAGCGCAAUCCUAUUUCAGAGUCCAUAUCGACAAUAGGGUUUACGACCUCGAUGUUGGAUCAGGACUUCCAAAUGGUGCAGCCGCUAUUAAAGGUUCGUUUGUUCAACGAUUAAAGUCCU